UUGGGGCAUCACAAAGUCUGUGGCCUCCAUCCUCCUGCAGAGCCCAGGGCAGGUCCCUCAGUUCACCAUCAGAUAUGCAGGUUCCAGGGCAGUUGCCUCAGUUCACCAUUAGAUAUGCAGGUUCCAGGGCAGUUGCCUCAGUUCACCAUCAGAUAUGCAGGGCCCAGGACAGGUCCCUCAGUUCACCAUCAGAUAUGCAGGUUCCAGGGCAGUUGCCUCAGUUCACCAUUAGAUAUGCAGGUUCCAGGGCAGUUGCCUCAGUUCACCAUCAGAUAUGCAGGGCCCAGGACAGGUCCCUCAGUUCACCAUCAGAUAUGCAGGUCCACAGCGGUCCACACAGUAGACAGCGGUGCUUUCUUCAUGAGGUACUGUAGGUCAGGUGUUUUGUUUAAAAUGUCACAAACAAUGUGAUUUGAAAAUACUAGAGCUAUUGAGAGUGAUAAUAUCCAUAUCCACCAAAUAGUGUUCUCUCGUGGUAUGCAGGUCCACU